AUAAACUGAAGAAAAUUCGUCGCGAUCCGAACAGUCUACCCGGACAGGCCGACUUGCGCGCGUCGCCCUGCCCGGAUAGACAGUCCGGAUUGUAGACGCCGUUCGGCACUGGCCUC
rnacentral:precursor_RNA from 12 species